AAAGAAGAGAGAAAAGGCAACCAAGAGAAAUCUAGUGUAAGCGUAUUAAAAGUUCUUAUUUUCUCAGUUUUCAAAAAAAAAUGUGUAAGCAUGGAUAGAGUCUAACUUUUUUCUACUAGCAGUUGUAAGUUUUCAGGGGACUCCAAAAGGGGAACCUCUCUUCUUCUUAAGGCAUGUAAAUAGUUGUAUAUAUUACUACUAUAUAGAAGAGCGAGUAGCAGCUCUCGGAAGCAGGUAGAUGACGAUCGACAUGUCUGCUUCUUGCUGCCUGCUUUCUCCAUAAUUUUACUGUAUCAUUCCUAAUUAAUUAUUAUAUGACAUUUACGUAUUAAAAAAUUAAUAAAAUUUAAUUUUUAAAAAAAUAAAAUAGAUAUUUAUGACAUGUCCGCUUCAGCUGCUUCAAUCGUAAUUUUUCUAUAUCGACCCUAAGUAAUUAUUAUAGAUCAGUUAAGUAUAAAAAAAUCAAUAAUAUUUAAUAAGAAAACUAAAAUAAACAUAAAAUGAUAAAUUAACUCUUGAUGUUUUAAAUUAAUUUGACAUUUAUAUGAGGCUUACUUAAAAAAAAUUCACAUGUAUUUUUUAUAGUAAUUUUUCUAUAUCACUUCUAAUUGGUUAUUAUGAGUCAUUCAAGACAUACCGAUUUUGCUACUUCAAUCGUGUUACGAUAUAUAAGUGUGAGUAGUAGUUGCUGGAAGCAAGCAGCUAGUGGUUGUCAUGCAUACUUUCAGUUGUCUGCUUGC
rnacentral:lncRNA from 1 species